rnacentral:lncRNA from 1 species
CUCCUUCAACAUGGUGACAUCCCAAAUCUCUCCUGAUCGUUCAGCUUCCUCAGUGGGGUGCUCCUUACUGUGCAUAUGGUCGCACAGCAUGAGUGACUUGACCACUCUCCUUUGUGGGGUAUCUCCCCAGUGGGGAUAGGUUCCGGAUGCACCAUCUUCCUCCAAGGACCCUUCCCUCUCAUGUAGACAUAGACCGCCCAUUCCAGUGGGUCUAGCUCCCCUAACUGAACUUCUAUACCUGUCACUCCUGUGAGGGUCUGCUCCCUCUAUCACUAUCCCUUUCUUCCUUCUUUGGGAAUGAAAACACAUGCGGUCCUUCUUCUUUGUCUUGUCGCUCACUCUCCUUCUCUCUCUCUUCCUCCCCAGUGUCUAUCUACUCCUCCGAACUCCAACUCCUCUUCUUCCCUGCCUUUUCCUCCCACUUUGUCGUCAUCAAGAAACCUUCCACUACCGACCACUACAAUUACGAGCCAAGAUCUGAAUGAAUCAUUUCCUUCAUUCUUACAAGAAGAGAACCUAAAUAGCAAUCAGAAAUACAAAGAGCCUGUGGAUAAGCAGAACAUCCCCAUGACUGAAUAUGAAAUAAGGAUAAAGGAUCCCCAGCCUCUCCUCCUAACCACUGUUUCACCAUCACUGUCACAGCGACAGAGUCUCAUAACAUCACCCAUCAAACAACAUCCACUUCCCUUUCAUGGGCAGCCCAGUAGAGACCUUCAUGGGAAGCAGAAUGCAGGCCUUAUUCUACCAUCCUCUCCUGGACUCAAACGGCACAGGUCCAUGUGGUGGAGUCCUGAAGUGCCUUCUGUGACGUUAAUGCUGCGCCGAAGUCUUACUUUGAAAUCUCAUAGCACUCUUGACAACAAACAACUAUGGCACUUAGGCCAAAGCAGGUCACAAAUUCUUCCCCCAAGAGAAUUUAAAUGGAAGCCUCUCCAAAUUGACAGCUUGCUUCUGAAGGCAGAGAGCGAACAUCAUGCAAAAGACAGGAAGACAUUUAACAAGAUUGGUAAAAAAUGUUCAGCACUAAAGAGCACAGAGGCAAGUCAAAAGAUAGAAUUUGUGUACAAGAAAUUGCUGGCCCCAUCCAGUGAAACCACAGAGAUUUGAUAUACUGAAAUAACACCUGGACAGUGAGGAAGCUGGCACUCUCCUGUUGCACAGUUUUUACAAGACUUUGACACAAAAUCUCCUGCAUUUCUUUGAUGAAAGGAAAUCCGGAGUGUUGUCAAAGAGUAUUGUAGAUUUCAUUUAUUUCUACAGAUCCAUAGCUGAGAUCUAUCAUUGAUAUGACAGGAUGGGUGGGUUGUUAGUUUUCUUUCUGUUAGUAUCUUAGGAUAGUAUUACAAAUUAUAUGGAGAACACAGGAUCCUAGCACUGUGUUUUCCCCACAAGAUCAAUAUAGAAUGGAUGAGUACUUGCAAGGUAGAAUGCCAUGUAGGUGAGCAUGCUUGACCCAGAUGCCUGUAGCUUCUGUGGUACAAUUGCCCUCUUCAGUAUUUUUAAUCAUUCCCCCUCCACUUUCAGAUGGGCUCCAAAACCAUGCCAAAGACACAGCCAGCGGGUGUAAGAUUUGGAGGAGGAGCUCAAUGAGUGUGAGUGUGGUUAUAUAACCUCCCUGUUGUUGAUUCUGUCCCAUAAAUGCCUCACAUGCAUUCAUGUUACUUCCGAAAAGGUGGGAUUGGAGACUGACAUCUGCUAUAACAUAUCUGACCUUAUUGCUAAAAGAAAUUUAAAUAUCUAAUGUAUACAAGAGAUUUUUCCUCAUGAUAAAUUGUGACUACUUGAUAAUUGUGUUUUGAGUUUUAUUAGUCAUACUGUAGAUGACUGUGCACUAAUCAGCAGCAAUAGCAGAAUGGAAGUCUGCUAGGUCACUGUUGGAACCACACACUCAGGCAUACAUUGUGUUGUUGUAUUCAUCUUUUGGUUGGUGCUAUAGUUUUUUCAGUUCCCAUGGUAUUAUUGAAAUCUGAGUCUUGUCUCCAUUCUGGCAGACCAGUCUUUCCUAAUACUGCAUUCUGUAACUCUCUAAUUUUCCUUGCCCCGAAUGAAAAGAAUAGCCUAUGUGAACAUUAAAGGACAUGAAAGAUGAAAACAUUGCAGCACUACAUUUUAAAAGUAUCGAGUGGUUGCAAGCAGAACUAGCUGAUAGCAUGAAUUGUUUCUUCUCUUCCCAGCCUGAUAAUUUUCACUGAACAAGGCACCUUAUCAAAAUAUCUUAUGAAUUUUAAAACUAUAAUGUUAGUCUGGAAGGAAACGUCCUGCAAAAAUUAGCUCAGAAAAAGACUUUAAAUCUCAUUUUUAUUCCAAAGAAUCACUCUUUGAAACAGCAGUGAAUUUGGAAGACACUGAAACAAACAGCCAGCUGCUUAAAAGUUAAAUUAAUGGGGAGAAAACAAUAAUCAUAAGCAGAGCUCAGAAGUAACGACAUUUCUACGAGAUCUUCAAAACAUAAGAGCUCCACAGGAACUAGACAUAAACAUGGAGACAAUAGAUAUGAAUCUACCAAAUUCUAAGAGUCAAUGACUAAAGUGGAAAUUUUAGCUAUUAGUCUGUGCAAGCGUAUCAGUCACAUAAAAACAAAAGACAAAAACAUUGUGGUACCUUAAAUACUGUUAUAUUUUAAUUUGAGCUUUUGUAGAUCAAAUUUUUAAUAAAUGAAGGAAUGUAAAUUGGCUUAAAAUAUGA